AGUGAACGCUGGCGGCGGGCCUAAUACAUGCAAGUCGAGCGAACAGACGAUGAGCGUUCUCCUCUGACGUUAGCGGGUGACGGAUGGGUAAGACGUAGAUAGCCUACCUAUAAGACGUGGAGAACUUCGGGGAGCCGGAGCUGAUACCAGAGAAUAUGUUGUACGGCAGAGUGCAGUGGUGAAAGGCAGUUUGGCUGUCACUUAGAGAUGAAUCCGCGCCGGAUUAGCUAGUUGGUAAGGUAACGGCUUACCAAGGCAACGAUGCGUAGCCGACCUGAGAGGGUGAUCGGCCACACUGGAACUGAGACACGGUCCAGACUCCUACGGGAGGCAGCAGUAGGGAAUCUUCCGCAAUGGGCGAAAGCCUGACCCAGCCACGCCGCGUGAGUGAUGAAGGCCUUCGGAUCGUAAAACUCUGUUAUUAGGGAAGAAAAACUGCGUAAGAAAACCCGCACGUCCUGACGGUACCCAAUCAGAAAGCACCGGCUAACUACGUG
rnacentral:rRNA from 1 species